UACGUAGGGUGCGAGCGUUGUCCGGAAUUAUUGGGCGUAAAGAGCUCGUAGGCGGCUUGUCGCGUCGGAUGUGAAAGCCCGGGGCUUUACUCCGGGUCUGCAUUCGAUACGGGCAGGCUAGAGUUCGGUAGGGGAGAUCGGAAUUCCUGGUGUAGCGGUGAAAUGCGCAGAUAUCAGGAGGAACACCGGUGGCGAAGGCGGAUCUCUGGGCCGAUACUGACGCUGAGGAGCGAAAGCGUGGGGAGCAAACAGG
rnacentral:rRNA from 1 species